rnacentral:tRNA from 1 species
GCGGGUAUGGCGGAAUUGGCAGACGCGCCGGAUUUAGGAUCCGGUUCCUUGUGAGUGCAGGUUCAAGUCCUGUUACCCGUACCA